GACGAACGCUGGCGGCGUGCUUAACACAUGCAAGUCGAACGGAAAGGCCCUGCUUGCAGGGUGCUCGAGUGGCGAACGGGUGAGUAACACGUGGGUGAUCUGCCCCUGACUUUGGGAUAAGCCUGGAAACUGGGUCUAAUACCGGAUAUGACCAAGGAUUGCAUGGUUCUUGGUGGAAAGCUUUUGCGGUUGGGGAUGGGCCCGCGGCCUAUCAGCUUGUUGGUGGGGUAAUGGCCUACCAAGGCGACGACGGGUAGCCGACCUGAGAGGGUGAUCGGCCACACUGGGACUGAGACACGGCCCAGACUCCUACGGGAGGCAGCAGUGGGGAAUAUUGCACAAUGGGCGCAAGCCUGAUGCAGCGACGCCGCGUGAGGGAUGACGGCCUUCGGGUUGUAAACCUCUUUCAGCAGGGAAGAAGCGUAAGUGACGGUACCUGCAGAAGAAGCGCCGGCUAACUACGUGCCAGCAGCCGCAGUAACAC
rnacentral:rRNA from 1 species